GGGGUGGCGCUCGGGGCCCGGGGCGCGAGCGCCGCCUCCGAAGCGGCGGACGCGGUGAUCCUGGUCGAUCGUCUCGAUCGCCUCGCCG
rnacentral:tRNA from 1 species